rnacentral:rRNA from 1 species
CCCAGACUCCUACGGGAGGCAGCAGUGGGGGAUAUUGCACAAUGGGGGGAACCCUGAUGCAGCGACGCCGCGUGGGUGAAGGAGCGUUUCGGCGCGUAAAGCCCUAUCGGCAGGGAAGAAGGAGGACGGUACCUGACUAAGAAGCCCCGGCUAACUACGUGCCAGCAGCCGCGGUAAUACGUAGGGGGCAAGCGUUAUCCGGAUUUACUGGGUGUAAAGGGGGCGCAGACGGCAGCGCAAGCCAGGAGUGAAAGCCCGGGGCCCAACCCCGGGACUGCUCUUGGAACUGCGCGGCUGGAGUGCAGGAGGGGCAGGCGGAAUUCCUGGUGUAGCGGUGAAAUGCGUAGAUAUCAGGAGGAACACCGGUGGCGAAGGCGGCCUGCUGGACUGCGACUGACGUUGAGGCCCGAAAGCGUGGGGAGCAAACAGGAUUAGAUACCCUCGUAAAG